GUCCUCAUGAAAAGGAGAGAUGGUUGGCAUCUCCUCUGAUUGGGACAGGAACAGCUUUCGGGCUUUCCUGUUACACACCUCGGUUAAGGCUGUCCACCUCUCGGAGGUUGGAUCUAUAACCAAUUAGUUGA